GGCCUAAACUUAAUUGAACGU
rnacentral:piRNA from 1 species